rnacentral:ncRNA from 1 species
AUUAUAUCGGACGGGUGCUGCUGUCUUAUUUUUUUUUUUUUUUUHKHUUYGACAGGGCUGAAAUCAUACCGUUUCACUCGAUCAAGAUAACACUUGCGUGAGGACUGAUUAAUAUUGUUGA